GGUUCGAUCAUGGCUCAGAUUGAACGCUGGCGGGAUGCUUUUACACAUGCAAGUCGAACGGCAGCACGGACUUCGGUCUGGUGGCGAGUGGCGAACGGUAGAGUAGUCAUCGGAACGUGCCUAGUAGCGGGGAUAACUACGCGAAAGCGUAGCUGAAGGGUCAGCAUACGCCCUUCGGGGAAAGCGGGGACCUUCGGGCCUCGCACUAUUAGAGCGGCCGAUAUCGUGGAUUAGCUAGUUGGUGGGGUAACGGCUCACCAAGGCGACGAUCCGUAGCUGGUUUGAGAGGACGACCAGCCACACUGGGACUGAGACACGGCCCAGACUCCUACGGAGGCAGCAGGGGAAUUUUGACAAUGGGGAAACUCCCGAUCCAGCCAUCCCGCGUGUGCGAUGAAGGCCUUCGGGUUGUAAAGCACUUUUGGGCAGAAAGAAAACGGCACGGGAUAAUACCCGUGCAACUGGACGGUACCUGCAGAAUAAGCACCGCUAACUACGCGUCAGCAGCCGCGGUAAUACGUAGGGUGCAAGGUUAAUCGGAAUUACUGGGCGUAAAGCGUGCGCAGGCGGUUCGGAAAGAAAGAUGCGAAAUCCCAGAGCUUAACUUUGGAACUGCAUUUUUAACUACCGAGCUAGAGUGUGUCAGAGGAGCGUGGAAUUCCGCGUAGCAGUGAAAUGCGUGCAGAUAUGCGGAGGAACACCGAUGGCGAAGGGCAGCCUCCUGAUAACACUGACGCUCAUGCACGAAAGCGUGGGGAGCAAACAGGAUUAGAUACCCUGUAGUCCACGCCCUAAACGAUGUCAACUAGCUGUUGGGGCCUUCGGCCCGGUAGCGCAGCUAACGCGUGAAGUUGACCGCCUGGGGAGUACGGUCGCAAGAUUAAAACUCAAAGGAAUUGACGGGGACCCGCACAAGCGGUGGAUGAUGUGGAUUACCCGAUGCAACGCGAAAAACCUUACCUACCCUUGACAUGUCUGGAAUCCCGAAGAGAUUUGGGAGUGCUCGCAAGAGAACCGGAACACAGGUGCCGCAUGGCUGUCGUCAGCUCGUGUCGAGAUGUUGGGUUAAGUCCCGCAACGAGCGCAACCCUUGUCAUUAGUUGCUACGAAAGGGCACUCUAAUGAGACUGCCGGUGACAAACCGGAGGAAGGUGGGGAUGACGUCAAGUCCUCAUGGCCCUUAUGGGCAGGGCUUCACACGUCAUACAAUGGUCGGGACAGAGGGUCGCCAACCCGCGAGGGGGAGCCAAUCAGAAACCUGAUCGUAGUCCGGAUCGCAGUCUGCAACUCGACUGCGUGUAGUCGGAAUCGCUAGUAAUCGCGGAUCAGCAUGUCGCGGUGAAUACGUUCCCGGGUCUUGUACACACCGCCUGUCACACCAUGGGAGUGGGUUUUACCAGAAGUAGUUAGCCUAACCGUAAGGAGGGCGAUUACCACGGUAGGAUUCAUGACCGGGGUGAAGUCGUAACAAGGUAG
rnacentral:rRNA from 1 species